rnacentral:tRNA from 1 species
AGGAGUUUAGGAUAAAUGAGACCAAGGGCCUUCAAAGCCCUAAGUAGAAGUUAAAUCUUCUAAUUCCUG